rnacentral:rRNA from 1 species
CUACGGGGUGCUCCAGUGAGGAAUAUUGCACAAUGGGGGGAACCCUGAUGCAGCAACGCCGCGUGGAGGAUGACGCAUUUCGGUGUGUAAACUCCUUUUAUAUGUCAAGAAAAUGACGGUAGCAUAUGAAUAAGCACCGGCUAACUCCGUGCCAGCAGCCGCGGUAAUACGGAGGGUGCAGGCGUUACUCGGAAUCACUGGGCGUAAAGGACGCGUAGGCGGGUUGGAAAGUCAGGUGUGAAAUCCUACAGCCUAACUGUAGAACUGCACUUGAAACUUCUAAUCUAGAGUAUGGGAGGGGGAGAUGGAAUUAGUGGUGUAGGGGUAAAAUCCGUAGAUAUCACUAGGAAUACCUAAAGCGAAGGCGAUCUCCUGGAACAUUACUGACGCUAAGGCGUGAAAGCGUGGGGAGCAAACAGGAUUAGAUACCCGAGUAGUC